GACGUAGGGUCCGAGCGUUGUCCGGAGUUACUGGGCGUAAAGGGCGCGUAGGCGGUUUCUUGCGUCCCGCGUGAAAGCCCCUGGCUCAACCAGGGAGGGUCGUGGGAAACGGGGGAACUGGAGGCAGCGAGAGGCUGGUGGAAUUCCCGGAGUAGUGGUGAAAUGCGUAGAGAUCGGGAGGAACACCAGUGGCGAAGGCGGCCUUCUGGACCAGUACUGACGCUCAUGCACGAAAGCGUGGGGAGCAAACAGG
rnacentral:rRNA from 1 species